GCGCCAGUCCUCCGAUAGACUGAGUCGCCCGGGUACCCGUGUAUCCAAUAAAGCCUUUUGCUGUUGCAUCCGAAUCGUGGUCUCGCUGAUCCUUGGGAGGGUCUCCUCAGAGUGAUUGACUGCCCAGCUUGGGGGUCUUUCAUUUGGGGGCUCGUCCGGGAUUUGGAGACCCCCGCCCAGGGACCACCGACCCACCGUCGGGAGCUCACUUACAGGCCCUCCAAACGGUGCAGCGAGAAAUUUGGAAACCACUGGCCGAGGCCUACCGGGACCGACUAGACCAACCAGUGAUACCGCACCCCUUCCGGAUUGGAGACUCCGUGUGGGUGCGCCGGCACCAGACCAAAAACUUAGAACCUCGCUGGAAGGGACCCUACACCGUCCUACUGACCACCCCCACCGCUCUCAAGGUAGACGGCAUCUCUGCAUGGAUACACGCCGCCCACGUCAAGGCAGCGACCACACCCCCGAUAAAACCAUCAUGGAGAGUACAACGCUCUCAAAACCCUUUAAAAAUCAGGUUAACCCGUGGGGCCCCCUAAUUGUCCUUCUGAUUCUCGGAGGGGUCAACCCCGUUGCGUUGGGAAACAGCCCCCACCAGGUUUUUAACCUCUCCUGGGAAGUGACUAAUGGAGACCGAGAAACGGUGUGGGCAAUAACCGGCAAUCACCCUCUGUGGACUUGGUGGCCUGACCUCACACCAGAUCUCUGUAUGUUGGCCCUCCACGGGCCGUCCUAUUGGGGCCUAGAAUAUCGGGCUCCUUUUUCUCCUCCCCCGGGGCCCCCCUGCUGUUCAGGAAGCAGCGACUCCACGCCAGGCUGUUCCAGAGAUUGUGAGGAGCCCCUGACUUCAUAUACUCCCCGGUGCAAUACGGCCUGGAACAGACUUAAGUUAUCUAAAGUGACACAUGCCCACAAUGAAGGAUUCUAUGUCUGCCCCGGGCCACAUCGCCCCCGGUGGGCCCGGUCGUGUGGUGGUCCAGAAUCCUUCUAUUGUGCCUCUUGGGGCUGCGAAACCACAGGCCGAGCAUCCUGGAAACCAUCCUCGUCCUGGGACUACAUCACAGUAAGCAACAAUCUAACCUCAGACCAGGCAACCCCAGUAUGCAAAGGUAAUGAGUGGUGCAACUCCUUAACUAUCCGGUUCACGAGCAGGCCACCUCCUGGGUCACAGGCCAUUGGUGGGGAUUGCGCCUAUACGUCUCUGGACAUGACCCAGGGCUCAUCUUUGGGAUCCGACUUAAAAUUACAGACUCGGGGCCCCGGGUCCCAAUAGGGCCAAACCCCGUCUUGUCAGACCGACGACCACCUUCCCGGCCUAGACCCACCAGAUCUCCCCCGCCUUCAAACUCCACCCCAACCGAGACACCCCUCACCCUCCCCGAACCCCCGCCAGCGGGAGUCGAAAACCGAUUGUUAAAUCUAGUAAAAGGAGCCUACCAAGCCCUCAACCUCACCAGUCCUGAUAAAACCCAAGAGUGCUGGUUAUGCCUAGUAUCGGGACCCCCAUACUACGAGGGGGUUGCCGUCCUAGGUACCUACUCCAACCAUACUUCUGCCCCAGCUAACUGCUCUGUGGCCUCUCAACACAAAUUGACCUUGUCCGAAGUGACCGGACAGGGACUCUGCAUAGGAGCGGUCCCUAAAACCCAUCAAGUCUUGUGUAAUACCACCCAAAAGACAAGCGAUGGGUCCUACUAUUUGGCCGCUCCCACAGGAACUACCUGGGCUUGUAGUACUGGACUCACUCCCUGUAUCUCAACCACCAUACUUGACCUCACCACCGAUUACUGUGUCCUGGUCGAGCUUUGGCCAAGGGUGACCUACCAUUCCCCUAGUUAUGUUUACCACCAAUUUGAAAGACGAGCCAAAUAUAAAAGAGAACCCGUCUCACUAACUCUGGCCCUACUAUUAGGAGGACUCACUAUGGGCGGAAUUGCCGCUGGAGUGGGAACAGGGACUACCGCCCUAGUGGCCACUCAGCAGUUCCAACAACUCCAGGCUGCCAUGCACGAUGACCUUAAAGAAGUUGAAAAGUCCAUCACUAAUCUAGAAAAAUCUUUGACCUCCUUGUCCGAAGUAGUGUUACAGAAUCGUAGAGGCCUAGAUCUACUAUUCCUAAAAGAGGGAGGUUUGUGUGCUGCCUUAAAAGAAGAAUGCUGUUUCUAUGCCGACCACACAGGAUUGGUACGGGAUAGCAUGGCCAAACUUAGAGAAAGAUUGAGUCAGAGACAAAAGCUCUUUGAAUCCCAACAAGGGUGGUUUGAAGGGCUGUUUAAUAAGUCCCCUUGGUUCACCACCCUGAUAUCCACCAUCAUGGGUCCCCUGAUAAUCCUCUUGUUAAUUUUACUCUUUGGGCCUUGUAUUCUCAAUCGCCUGGUCCAGUUUAUCAAAGACAGGAUUUCGGUAGUGCAGGCCCUGGUUCUGACUCAACAAUAUCAUCAUGAAUAAAAGAUUUUAUUCAGUUUACAGAAAGAGGGGGGAAUGAAAGACCCCUUCAUAAGGCUUAGCCAGCUAACUGCAGUAACGCCAUCUUGCAAGGCAUGGGAAAAUACCAGAGCUGAUGUUCUCAGAAAAACAAGAACAAGGAAGUACAGAGAGGCUGGAAAGUACCGGGACUAGGGCCAAACAGGAUAUCUGUGGUCAAGCACUAGGGCCCCGGCCCAGGGCCAAGAACAGAUGGUCCCCAGAAAUAGCUAAAACAACAACAGUUUCAAGAGACCCAGAAACUGUCUCAAGGUUCCCCAGAUGACCGGGGAUCAACCCCAAGCCUCAUUUAAACUAACCAAUCAGCUCGCUUCUCGCUUCUGUACCCGCGCUUAUUGCUGCCCAGCUCUAUAAAAAGCCACACUCGGCGCGCCAGUCCUCCGAUAGACUGAGUCGCCCGGGUACCCGUGUAUCCAAUAAAGCCUUUUGCUGUUGCAUCCG
rnacentral:lncRNA from 1 species